GACACCGGCGGGAACGUAAAUCUCUGGCCUCGGUAGCGCACCGCUCGCCUGAUUUUCGUCGGGCCUCACUUUUCGCUCGCCCGACCGCCGUUGAACAUGAUUCGGCACACUUCCAACCGCCGGGAUUUCUGUCAACCGUUUUCUCGUUAGCUGUGGGUCCAGCCGGUCAUAAGAUUCGAGUGGAUGAGAGUUGGACAUAAUGGGUGGACGAAGAAUAUCGAAUGUCUUCAUGGUUUCUUUCCUGUUUUGUUGAAAUUUUUGCAUUGGAGGUGUUGGAUAUUGUCUCGUGACUGUUUGAACUAUCGGAUAGAUUAACUGAAGGAUUUUUUAAAUAUUGGACGAUCGAGAUUGUAGCAGACUUUUGUGUGAAAGAGAAGGUAUCGUUGGUCGGGCAGCGGGGCGAAAAUACAAGCGGAGCAGCGUUACAGAAAAUUAUGAAACUCCCGAGUGAAUCACACUACCGC